UUUUGUGGUGCCUGCACUCCCCCCACUAGCAUCCUGAAACCCAGCAAGUUUUCAGAGCUGCCCACGUUACAUGGGGUGUAGUUUGUCCAGGUCGUCAUUCUCAUCGUAACUCCUCAUUCUGUUCAUUAAUGUUCAUUUAAUUCAUUCAGUAUGUGUUUAUUUUGGCCUUUUCAUUCUUGAUAUUGCAUGCUUGAUCCUGGACUUGGAGUGAAAGAACACUGGAAGUAAGAAAAGAGAGACAGUUUCAGAGCACUGGAAAGGAGUCCUUAUCGAGGUUUACAUGUGGUUUUUGUUUCAGGUUAUGCAUGUAAGAACUUUAAUGUUUUUAAAGAGGAAGGACUAACAAGAAGGACUCACCAGUGCUCAAUUCCCAGCUGGUUGUGUGGGAACAUGAGGAAAGAUGAGCUUGCCCACCUUGGCUACAGAGAGUCAGAGAAAGACUGGAGCAGGAAAGAAGCUGGUAGGAAGCAACUUCUGGUUGAAAAGAGAUUGGAGACAGCUCCCACAGCUGCGCACCACAUCCCCACACAGGGUCAUCGGCAGCCUCAGUGGUGUGACACUGGGAGUGAGGAGGCAGAACAGUAGCAGGUCCCCAGGGUGCUGCGCUCCUGGUUCUCCAUGUCCUUUGUGUGCCACGGUGCUCCACAGAUCUCCACGGGGCUCUGGUUGGCCUUGGAGGCUGGAGAAGAAGGAAACAACUCUGGGAAGUCUGAACAUCUGCUAAAAUCAUGAUGGUUGGGGAUGAGCUCAUAGCAGGUAGGUCAGCGGACUGCUCAGCACAGCUAUCAUCAGCCAGAUUCACUACUGUUGCCCCGCUGAGAAUUGCUAAUGUGUCCCAGUGGGCGUGAGAUUUGGGAGCCAGCCAAAGAGCUGUUUCCCUCCAGUCUUGGGGUGGGAGUGGAAAUGAGGAUAGGGAGAAAUUGGAAUAGUGAUUUCUGGAACUUUGAGUUGCUUACACCACAGUGUGAAAAAUAAAGCAAACCAAUCAACCAGCAGGCACCAAUAAUGGCAUCAAGCAUUCUCUCUGAUUUCCCAGGGGCAGGACUCCUGCAUCUUGAGGCAGGUCAUCAAACCCAGAUUCUGUAUCUGUGUUUGCUCAGUUUUUCUGAAACUAUGCCCAGGAAGUAUGCAGGGGUCAUGUGACCUGACUUAUCACGAUGUUAACCAAUGUUUUCUUUGAUUCACAGAUUAAUAAACAAUAAUAAUAAGAGGAAAGUGUAGGAAUCAAAUGGAUGUCAUGGCUAGAACUUUGUCAAUAUUAUUUUCAUCUCCAAUAAUUUACUUAAAUGUUUCAAGUCAUGUCUUCUACAUUUAUGACACACUACUCCUUGCCAAGCAGAAGGCUAGGUUUGCAAGAUGUGAAUGAGUCCUACAUUACCCUGUCCUUGAUGAUCUUCCAAUCCAGUAGGGCAGACAGACACAUGUUUUCCAGUUUUUGUGAUGGUGUUUAAUAACCAUAUGGAAAAUGUAUCAUCUUUGGAAUUGGGCUUAAAUCUCAGCUCUGAGCAGGGUGAAUUUUCCAGUCUCAGCUUCUUCACCCACACUACAAGGUAAGGACACCAUGCAGGAUUGUUAGAGAGAUAACGUGUGGGAAGAGCCAGCACCUCCCUGCUGGUGAGUGGGACCUUUGCCACAUCUCAGGGAGGCAGUGCUGGAGAAUAUUUUUAGAUACUCGAGAGAUGGGGAACAAAUUUUCUGGUGACAAAAUAAUCAUGACUAGAAACAAAUAGGGGCUCAAAUGUUAAUAAUUUUGUUAAGACUUGUUCUGAGCUGAGGUAUUACGUGCUGCUAUCCAGUACUGGUAGAGACUGGGGAAUUUACCAACUUUCAACAAAGUUCUCCAAAUCGUUAUCUGCGGUCAUUGGUGCAUCAUUAUUUUGUCCUAAUAACAACUUCUCCUGUGUGUAUUUUUCCUAUGAUACUAUAAAAUAAUUAAUAAAAUUCUUCAGAAAUCAUCCAGUGUUGUCUCCUGCAUUUUGGAGUUGAGAAAUGGGAGUC
rnacentral:lncRNA from 1 species